GAAAGUAAUGAAGGGCGUACGGUGGAUGCCUAGGCUCUUACAGGCGAUGAAGGACGUGAUAAGCUGCGAAAAGCCGCGGUGAGGCGCAAAUGGCCCUUGACCCGCGGAUCUCCGAAUGGGACAACCCAAUAUCUUGAAGAGAUAUUAUCCCGCCGAUGCGGGAGGCGAACGCGGGGAACUGAAACAUCUUAGUACCCGCAGGAAAAGAAAAUAAAGAAUGAUUCCCCCAGUAGUGGCGAGCGACCGGGGAAGAGCCCAAACCGACGUUGUCUCGGCAUCGUCGGGGUUGUAGGACCGCGCCAUCGCAAGAAAGGCCGUGAGUGGAAGCGACUGGAAAGCCGCGCCAUAGAGGGUGACAGCCCCUUACACGAAGCAGCCCGAAGCGUAGCGGACUCCUGAGUAGCGCGGGACACGAGUAAUCCUGUGUGAAUCCGCCGGGCCCAUCCGGCAAGGCUAAAUACUCGUAAGAGACCGAUAGUGAACCAGUACCGUGAGGGAAAGGUGAAAAGUACCCCUUGCAGGGGAGUGAAAGAGUUCCUGAAACCGUACGCCUACAAGCGGUCGGAGCAUCUUGAAUGAUGUGACGGCGUGCCUUUUGCAUAAUGAACCUACGAGUUGCCGUCACCAGCGAGGUUAAGUGCGAUGACGCACCGAGCCGCAGCGGAAGCGAGUCUUAAAAGGGCGCAAUAGUUGGUGGAGGCAGACGCGAAACCGAGUGAUCUACACUUGUCCAGGAUGAAGUCCCGGUAACACGGGAUGGAGGUCCGCACCAAUAAGCGUUGAAAAGCUUCUGGAUGAGGUGAGUGUAGGAGUGAAAGGCCAAUCAAACUCGGAGAUAGCUCGUACUCCCCGAAAGGCAUUUAGGUGCCGCCUGUGGCGUUCCCGACGUGAGGUAGAGCGACUGAUAGGAUGCGAGGGCUUCACCGCCUAUCAAGUCCUGACAAACUCCGAAUGCACGUCGGCCAAGCCAUGGAGUAAGGGCAUGGGUGCUAAGGUCCGUGCCCGAGAGGAGAAGAAUCCAGACCACCGGCUAAGGUCCCGAAAUACUGGUUAAGUUAGACUAACGCAGUCCGGCCCCCAAGACAGCUAGGAUGUUGGCUUGGAAGCAGCCAUUCAUUCAAAGAGUGCGUAACAGCUCACUAGUCGAGGAGCUGGGCGUGGAUAAUAAUCGGGUAUGAAACCAGUUACCGAAGCCGUGGGAUGCUUAAGCAUCGGUAGGGGAGCAUUGCAUGCGGCUUAGAAGGCGGGGCGCGAGCCCCUCUGGAGCGCAUGGAAACGCAAAUGUAGGUAUAAGUAACGACAAGGGGGGUGGGAUGCCCCCCCGCCGAAAGACCAAGGUUUCCUGAACAACGCUAAUCGGUUCAGGGUCAGUCGGGUCCUAAGCAUAAGCCGUAUGGCGAGGGCGAUGGACGAAACGGUUAAUAUUCCGUUACUGUCUUGGUGUGUGACGCGGCGACGGAGUAGUGACACGGCCGCCUCCUGACGGAAAAGGGGGUUGAAGCGCAAAGGUGUCGAGGAAGGCAGGCAAAUCCACCUUCCGAGCCGAAGCGCGAAAGUACGCCGGGCCCUUUGGGGCAAGGCGAUAGUGCCGGUAAUCAGACUUCCAAGAAAACCCGCUAAACUUCAGCACCAAGUCACCCGUACUCUAAACGGACACACGUGGUCGGGUAGAAUAUACUAAGGCGCUUGGGAGAUUCACGGUUAAGGAACUAGGCAAAUUGACCCCGUACCUUCGGAAUAAGGGGUCCUCGCUUUUGCGAGGCGCAGAGAAUAGGUCCAGGCAACUGUUUAACAAAAACACAGGGCUGUGCAAAUUUGAAAGAAGAAGUAUACAGCCUGACACCUGCCCGGUGCCGGAAGGUUAAGAGGAGAGCUCAUCAGCGAUGAGAAGGCUUGAAUUGAAGCCCCGGUAAACGGCGGCCGUAACUAUAACGGUCCUAAGGUAGCGAAAUUCCUUGUCGG
rnacentral:rRNA from 1 species